CCCCGGAAGGCAUCCCAUCUUUCUUUAACAAGUAUCGGUAUGUUUUCGGAUUCGUUUCGUUCAUGUGAUAUGUGCAAAUCUUGGAGCGUCUUUUGCAUUUAGUUUUAAUUUUUCCUUUAUGCACCAUGCUGGUAUGAGAUACUACAUGGUUGAUUUAUAGAAUGCUCAUUGCACUUCACUUAUAUCCUUCGAGUAUGGCUUUAUAGAAUGCUUCAUGUGCUUCACUUAUAUCAUUUGAAGUGUGGAUUUCCUGUUUCUCUUCACAUAGAAAACAGAUGUUCAUAGAAUGCUCUUUUGCUUCACUUAUAUUUGUUAGGGAAUAAUCUUUUUUUAGAAAAAAUUUAACUCUCAUGAUUCACUUAUAUCUAUUUAGAGAGUCAACAAGAAUUGGUCAAUUGCAUGGUUAGUCAUAAAAUCCUCCAUAAAAGUUGUGGAUCACUGAAUAUGAUAUGUUUGAUUCCUUGCAAUAGUUUUGUGAUAUAGAGAUGGAAUAUGUGGGAGGUACUAGUGGAUGAUUGUGUUUAGUAAGAUAUUGGUGUUAAGGUUUGUGAUUCCCGAAGCAUGCAUGUAUAAUCUCCCGUUAUGCUAUGAAAGUUGGAGCACAAUUUAUCCUUGAUUGUCUAUCUUUGUGUGAAGAUCGGGGGCGCGCGAUGGUUAACUCCUACCAACCUCCCCCCUAGGAGCAUGCAUAGUAUUACUUUGCUUCGAGGGCUAAUAAACUUUUGCAAUAAGUAUAUGAGUUCUUUAUGACUAAUGUGAGUCCAUGGAUUAUACGCACUCUUACCUUUCCGCAACUUGCUAGCCUCUACGGUAUCGUGCAUUGCCCUUUCUCACCUCGAGACAUGGUGUAAACUUCGCCGGUGCAUCCAAACCCCGUGAUAUGAUACACUCUAUCACACAUAAGCCUUAUUAUAUCUUCCUCAAAACAGCCACCAUACCUACCUAUUAUGUCUUUUCCAUGGCCAUUCCGAGAUAUAUUGCCAUGCAACUUCCACCGCUUCCGUUUGAUGACUUGAGCAUUCAUUUUCAUAUUGCUUUGCAUGAUCAUAAGAUAGCUAGCAUGAUAUUUCCAUGGCUUGUCUGUUUUUUUGAUAUCGUUGUUAUGCUAGAUCAUUGCACAUCCUAGUACACUGCCAGAGGCAUUCAUAUAGAGUCAUAAUUUGUCAUAGGUAUCGAGUUGUAAUUUUUAUUUCUUUUGAGUUAUAAGUAAAUAGAAGUGUGAUGAUCAUCAUUAUUCAUUUUUAGAGGAGUGCCCCAGUGAGGAAAGUAUGAUGGACACUAUGAUUCCCCCACAAGUCGGGAUGAGACUUCGGACAAUGAGAGAAAGAAAAAAAAGAGAAAAAGGAAAAAAAUAGAAAAAAUAUAAAAAAUAAACAAAAAAUAAACAAAAAGAGAAGGGGCAUUGUUAGUAUCCUUUACCACACUUGUGCUUCAAAGUAGCACCAUGUUUUUCAUAUGGAGAGUCUCAUAUGUUGUCACUUUCAUAUACUAGUGGGAAUAUUUCAUUAUAGGAUUAGAUGCACACCCACUUAGUUUUCACAUUGAGCUUUCAUACACUUGUAGCUCUUAGUGCAUUCGUUGCAUGGCAAUCCCUACUCCUCGCAUUGAUAUCAAUUGAUGGGCAUCUCCAUAGCCCGUUGGUUAGCCACGUUGAUGUGAGACUUUCUUACUUUUUUGUCUUCUCUAUAUUUACCUCUAUCAUCAUACUCUAUUCCACUUAUAAUUCUAUAUACAUGGCUUGCGCUCAUGUAUUGCGUGAGGGUUGAAAAAGUUGAAGCGCGUUAAAAAGUAUGAACCAAUUGCUUGGCUGACACCGGGGUAGUACAUGAUUUCUACUUUGUGUUAAGAAGACAAAGCAUGACAAGGCUAUAUGAUUUUGUAGGGAUAACAUUCUUGAGCAUUUGAUAUUCUAAAAGACAUGAUUGUUUGUUGGGAUGCCUGAGUAUUGCUGUCUUCAUGUCAAAUUAUAGACUAUUGCUUUGAAUCACUUAUGUCUAAAUAUUCAUGCCAUGACUAGAUAUAUGAUCAAGUUUAUGUUAGGUAGCAUUCCACAUCAAAAAGUUAUAUUUUUUAUCAUUUACCUACUCGAGGACGAUCAGGAAUUAAGCUUGGGGAUGCUGAUACGUCUUCAUCCUAUCUAUAAUUUUUGAUUGUUUCACGCCAAUAUUAUACAGCUUUCACAUACUUUUGGCAACUUUUUAUGUGAUUUAUUUGGACUAACUUACUUAUCCAGUGCCAGUUCCUGUUUGUUGCAUGUUUUUGUAUCGCAGAAAAUCCAUAUCAAACAAAGUCCAAAGGUGAUGAAACUCCAUGAAGAAUUAUUUUGGAAUAUUUGCGAAUUUUAGGAGUUGGAAUCACCGCAAACGGAGGCCCACACGGACCACGAUAUACCAGGGCGCGCCCCAGGCCCCUAGCGCGUGGUGGUGGGUGCUGCUCACCUCGUACGUCGGUUGGAGCUGCACUUCGGGCGCAAGGAAGCUUAUACCCGGAAAAAAAAUCAUGUGAAAAUAUCAGUACAAUCGGAGUUACGGAUCUCCGAGAAUAUAAGAAACGGUUUUCGGCCAGAUCUAGGGAGCGGGAAACAAAACAGAACAGAGAGGAAGAUCCAAUCUCGGAGGGGUUCCCGCCCCUCCGCCGCCAUGGAGGCCAUGGACCAGAGGGGAAACCCUCCUCCCAUCUAGGGAGGAGGCCAAGGAAGAAGAAGAAGGAGGGGACUCUCUCCCUCUCUCUCCCGGUGGCGCCGGAGUGCCGUCGGGGCUAGGAUCAUGAUGGCUAUCUUCAUCAACAAUCUUGCUACUGUCAACCCAACUCUCUCCCCCUCUAUGCAGCGGUGUAACACCCCUUCGCCCCGCUGUAAGCUCUACUUAAACAUGGUGCUCAACUCCAUAUAUUAUUUCCCAAUGAUGUAUGGUUAUCCUAUGAUGUUUGAGUAGAUCUAUUUUGUCCUAUGGGUUAAUUGUAACAACCCUAGUCAGUGCUUGCAUUAGAGUGAUGCAUCAUAUUUAAAAUUUCUAGAAACUUGAAAUGGGGAUGAACCAAAACCCCAGCACCACUUAAACCAAAUAGGAUUACUAAAAUAUUUUCCCAAUGAACCUAAAAUGCCCUACAAAAAUGUUCAUCACUUUUGUAUUGGUCAAUAACCUUUGCCAAAAUUGGUUCACAUUUUUCUAGGACACCAAAGGUCACUGGAUUAAAUCAUUAGCUAUUUGCAUUUGGACAUUUGAAUGCUAUAAAAUAUUUUAAAUGUCCAAAUAAUUGUGAAUUUAAGUGAGGGCUGUUGGAAAUAAUACAAACAGAGCCGAGAUGGAUUUUCAGGUUUUUUGGAAAUGCUUUAACAUUAUAAAUAAAGCCAAAAACAUUUGCAAAAAAUAGAAAACUGAAAUAAUUAGAAAAGAGAGAGAGAGAGAGAAGAGGCCAGAGGCUACUUACCUGCAAUGGGCUGGCCCACCUGGCCCAUGCCAUUCAUCACCCACCUGUGCCAGUAGGCAGAGGAGGGGGCGGUGCAUGCGCGCCGAGCUCGCCACACAGCUCCUUGCUCGUCUGCGUCGCCUAGACAGCGUGGCGACGCCUCGAAACACCUCCUCGGUGCCGNNNNNNNNNNNNNNNNNNNNNNNNNNNNNNNNNNNNNNNNNNNNNNNNNNNNNNNNNNNNNNNNNNNNNNNNNNNNNNNNNNNNNNNNNNNNNNNNNNNNNNNNNNNNNNNNNNNNNNNNNNNNNNNNNNNNNNNNNNNNNNNNNNNNNNNNNNNNNNNNNNNNNNNNNNNNNNNNNNNNNNNNNNNNNNNNNNNNNNNNNNNNNNNNNNNNNNNNNNNNNNNNNNNNNNNNNNNNNNNNNNNNNNNNNNNNNNNNNNNNNNNNNNNNNNNNNNNNNNNNNNNNNNNNNNNNNNNNNNNNNNNNNNNNNNNNNNNNNNNNNNNNNNNNNNNNNNNNNNNNNNNNNNNNNNNNNNNNNNNNNNNCCGUCCACUCGGCGCCUCGCCGUGUCUAGAAGCUCCGCCGUCGUCCGCUUCACCGAGCCUGCCGAGCCCCGAGCACUCGCACGCCUCAGAGACGCCUCCCCGACCUCGCCUUCACCGCCCGUCGUCGGAGAUCCACUUUGCCGCCCUGCUCAGCUCUGACAGUCCCCGAGCUCGCCGACCAUCUCGACCGAGUCGCCGUGAGCCACUGCCCGUUCUCCCCCUCUCUGCUCUCUCCUUCAUGCGCCAUAGUCGCCGCACCAUGCUCACCCGCACGAGCCUCCGCCUCUGCAUGUCGCCAUCGUGGCCACUGCCACGCGGGCUCGAGCCCGAGCACGUCACCGCGUUCGCCGCACCCCCAGGAGCCCGUAGCACCUCAUCGCGCCCUCUGUUGUGCCCCCUAGCGCCGAACCCGAGCACGCCCGAGCUCCAGCCGCCGCUGCCGAGCUCAUGGCCGUCGUCACUGGCCGCCCUAGCUGCUGCUGCUUGCUCCAACGGGCGCGGGUGAGCUCCAGCACCCCAUAGCCGCUCUCCGCUGGCCAUUUGGUCGCUGGAGCAGUGAGCCCGAGCCCUCCACCGCGUCUGCUGCCGCCGGCGACUAAACGCCGGUGGUUAGCCCGGUUUGACCAGGGGGUUUGACCUCCCCUGGGUUAAUGACAGGUGGGGCCCCUCCCUGCUAACUAAACUAGGUUAGUACUAACUAAAAUCAAUUAGUUUAGUUGACCACUGAGACGCGGGACCCACUGGUUAGUUUGACCUGGAUCGGCCCCGAUGACUUGUUGACAUCAUGCUGACGCAGUAAAGAGUUUUCUAGAUUUAAACUUAUUCAAAAAAUUCCAGAAAUUGUUACAAACUUCAAAAAUUCAUAGAAAUUAAUCUGUAACUCCAAAUGCAAAGUGUUAUAUAUGAAAAAUGAUCAGAAAAAUCCAAUCUAUCCAUCUGUACUGGUUUCAUGCAUGUUUAAAAAAGCUAACUUGCUGUUUAGUGCAGAACAUGAUAAAGCACUAUUUGAGAUCACAAAUGGGUUUGGACUUUGAAUCUUUCGUUCAAAAUAGCUCAAACCCAUCUGGUUUUAGAUGCAUUAGCCCAACACACUCAUAUUGCCAUGUCGCAUGCAUGAAUCAUAUUGUUGCAUAUUGUUUGGUAAUGAUUGUGUUGUCGGUGCUUGAGGGAGUCCUGGACUAGGGGGUGUCCGGACAGCCGGACUAUCAUCGUCCUCCGGACUCCAAGACUAUGAAGAUACAAGAUUGAAGACUCUGUCCCGUGUCCGGAUGGGACUUUCCUUGGCGUGGAAGGCAAGCUUGGCGAUACGGAUAUGUAGAUCUCCUACCAUUGUAACCGACUCUGUGUAACCCUAGCCCUCUCCGGUGUCUAUAUAAACCGGAGGGCUUUAGUCCGUAGGACACAACAUCCAUUACAACAAUCAUACCAUAGGCUAGCUUCUAGGGUUUAGCCUCCUUGAUCUCGUGGUAGAUCCACUCUUGUACUACCCAUAUCAUCAAUAUUAAUCAAGCAGGACGUAGGGUUUUACCUCCAUCAAGAGGGCCCGAACCUGGGUAAAACAUCGUGUCCCUCGUCUCCUGUUACCAUCCGCCUAGACGCACAGUUCGGGACCCCUACCCGAGAUUCGCCGGUUUUGACACCGACAUUGGUGCUUUCAUUGAGAGUUCCUCUAUGUCGUUGCCGAUAGGAAGGACGCCUCCACCCGUCUUCAAGGACGGUAUUUUCGCCAAAGGGGCCUUGGCCGCCAGCCAAACUAUCCGGCUAGGUGGUUUUCUUAUGACCGCCUGUCCGGCCAUCGCUUCGACAAUGACUUCUCAAGUCGUCAAAAGCAAUCUUCACGUCAGCUCGGAAUUUGCCGAGCGGCUGGAUCCAAUAGAGCUUUUGUCUGUCAACGAGCUCUUGGAUCGCAUCGCCGCCCUGGGAGUCGCUACGGACUACAAUCAGAUUGGGCUUAAAACCGAUCUGAGAGAGAUUAACUCUCCCCAGGUCACCCACCACGUCGCAGUGGUAGAGGAACAAUGCGGCGACUCUUCUCCUGUAUUGAAAACUAGUCAUGUGCGGGCUCCCGAACCCUCCAUGCAGGAUUCCCGUGGAGGGACGGACUUCGGUCAAGCACUGUACCUAAAGUCAGGCAUCGGACCGGACUCGUUGGACAACGUCCAGCAAUCGAAGCUUCCAAAUUUGGAAACUUCACGGCCUUCAAGCCUUGAGAUAGGUAGGGUUCCGGACUUUAUUCCACCCACCCGCCCAGACAUAUGCGAUCUAUCUCUAAUACGGCAAGGGCCCGCUGAAACAGUACAUCACUACUGGGCCAGAUUCCUCCUGGUUCUGGACAGGAUAAAGGACUGCAGAGAGGAAAACGCAAUCUCAAUUUUUUGCAAUAAUUGCACGGACAAGGGAAUAUUGAACGCCAUCAGCCAUCGUGAAAUUACACACUUCGCCGACCUGGCGUCCAUAGUACGAAAGUACUGUGCGAUGGAGAGUUUUCGGAAAACCGAAAACCAGUUUUGGGACAAUCCGGCCCCGAAUACAACCCUAGUCCGCAACAAAAGGGUGCAUUACACUCAGGCCCCAGAUACAAAAACCAAAAAGCAAAAACCCCAUAGAGGGCACGGAACCGUACUGCAGGGAUGGCUUAGCGGACCCUGUAAAAUUCACAGUACAGAGGGCGCCGUCCCAACACAUAGCCUUCGAGCAUGUUGGAUAUUACGGUAGGUGGCCAAAAGUGGCGAGGAGCUUCUAGCCCCGGAAAACCACUCCAACAAUACCAGUACGGUAUCAACAGUCUUCGAGACCUUCACAUCAAAUAAUAUGCGGAAACGAACAAUCCGCGGCCUCGCCGAAGUCUACCAAGUAGCAACAACAAUUCCAUGGAGCGACACAGCCAUCACCUUCAACGCCAGCAACGAACCUAAAUUCCGAAUAGCCCGAGCACCAGCCGCACUGGUGCUUAGUCCAAUAGUGGACGGCUUUUGACUUACGAAGGUCCUCAUGGAUGGCGGCAGCGGACUAAACCUCAUCUAUGAGGAAACUCUUCAAAAAAAUGGAAAUAGACUGGAGCCGUAUUGAGCGAAGCAGCACAACCUUCAGAGGAAUAAUUCCUAGCCGGGAAGCGCGCUGCACCGGAAAAAUCACACUCGAUGUGGUGUUCGGCUCGCCGGACAAUUACAGAUCCGAAGAAGUCACGUUCCAAGUGGCCCCAUUCAACAGCGGAUAUCACGCUAUAUUAGGACGAGAGGCAUUCACAAUUUUUCAAGCCGUACCCCAUUACGGGUACAUGAAGCUCAAAAUGCCUGGGCCCGGCAGAAUAAUCACUCUCGUUAGUGAUCUGGACAUAGCACUCCACGCUGAAAACAAGACGGCCGCAUUAGCCCUGGAGGCACUAUCCGAAGCCCUAGCGGCAGAAGAACUCACCGCGCUGCGCUCUACGGUGAAUAGGGACGAUGUGAUACUUGAUAAGAGAUCCAAGUCCACCUCCUUUAAACCAGCAGAUGAAAUAAUAAAAUUCCAGGUCCAUCCAACGGACCCGACAAAAACGGCUUCCAUCGGGGCACAGUUGAACCCUGAUGUAGACGCCGCACUGCGAGAAUUCCUUCGGGAAAAUUGGGACAUUUUCGCCUGGCACCCUUCGGAUAUGCCCGGAAUCCCACGCAGAUUGGCAGAACACAGCCUAAACAUCCUAAAGGGAUUCAAGCCAGUCAAACAGGCUCUUCGACGAUUUUCCGAACCUAAAAGACAUGCAAUGGGAGAAGAGCUAGCCAAACUAUUGGAAGCCGGAUUCGUCAGAGAUAUCAAACAUCCGGAUUGGCUAGCAAACCUGGUAAUGGUACCAAAGAAGGACAAAUCAUGGCGCCUCUGUGUCGAUUUUAAAGACCUCAACAAGGCCUGCCCAAAGGAUCCCUUCCCCCUCCCCCGCAUCGACCAGAUAAUCGACGCUACCGCAGGACACGAGUCACUAUGCUUCCUCAACGCAUACUAUGGCUACCAUCAAAUCAAGAUGGCGGAAGCAGACCAAGCCGCAACGGCAUUCAUCACUCCAUAUGGACCAUUCUGCUUCAACACGAUGCCCUUCGGACUUAAAAACGCCGGCACAACAUAUCAGCGCAUGAUUCAAACAUGUCUGGCAACCCAGAUCGGCAAAACAGUAGAGGCAUACGUAGACGACGUAGUCGUCAAAACCAAACACGGCGAAACUCAAGUAGACGAUUUGAGGCUCACAUUCGACAACCUCAGAGCAUAUGACAUCAAGCUGAAUCCGGAAAAAUGCGUUUUCGGCGUACCAGCCGGAAAGCUGCUGGGCUUCAUUGUAUCCAGUAGAGGAAUUGAAGCAAACCCGGCCAAGAUCCGAGCUCUGUCACAGCUAGAUAUUCCCAAAGACCUCAAACAGAUACAAAAAUUGAUUGGAUGCAUGGCGGCUUUAAGCCUCUUUAUCUCCCGCUUGGGAGAAAAGGCAUUGCCCCUCUAUCGCCUCCUUAGGCGCACCGAACACUUCGAGUGGACGGAUACUGCCACUGCCGAACUCAAGGAAAUAAAGGCCAUAUUGGCAACAAAUCCGAUCCUGGCUGCGCCCAACUUGGGCGAACCAAUGCUGUUAUACAUCGCGGCAACACAUCAAGUUGUAAGCGCGGUACUCGUCGUCGAACGAGAGAUAGAAGGGCAUAAAUUCCCUCUUCAAAAACCAGUGUACUACGUCUCCACUGUGUUAACCCCCUGCAAGUCCCGUUACCCGCACUAUCAAAAGAUAGCGUAUGCGGUGUUCAUGGCAUCCCGGAAGCUCCGACACUACUUUCAAGAGUGUUCGAUAACAGUGGCCUCCGAAGUACCACUCAACGACAUUAUAAACAACCGCGACGCGACGGGCAGGAUUGCAAAAUGGGCCAUUGAGCUCUUACCAUUCGAUAUAACUUACAAACCUCGGCGAGCUAUAAAGUCACAAGUUUUGGCUGACUUUGUCGCUGAAUGGACCGAAGCCGAACUCCCUAAAGAGUACGGCGCAUACUCCAAUUGGAAUAUGCACUUCGGCGGCUCUAAAAUGUUGGCCGGAUUGGGGACUGGCGUCGUAUUGACGUCCCCAACCGGGGACACAGUCCAAUACGUACUUCAGAUAAUGUACACGGACUCCAACAACGCAGCCGAAUACGAGGCCCUUUUACAUGGCCUCCGGAUGGCAAUCUCCAUGGGCAUUCAACGCCUAGAGGUGCGCGGGGAUUUGAACCUUGCGAUAUCCCAGAUAAAUGGAGACUUUGACACCAAGGAUCCGAAAAUGGCAGCAUAUCGCAACGCUGUCCUAAAAAUGUCAGCCCGGUUUGAAGGACUUGAAUUCCAUCACAUAGCCCGUGAUAAUAACCAAGCAACCGACAUACUGGCACGCAUCGGCGCAAAACGUGACGCUGUCCCUCCAAACAUCUUCCUGGAACGGCUCUUCAAGCCAUCCGUACUAUGGGAAGAGGAGUCCGGACAUGACAAACCGGAAAAAACCGCGCCAACCGGCGAUUCAGCCGACGACAUAACACCUUCAGCCCACGACAUAAUGGCAGUAAUCACCCCGUGGACAGAACCAUUCCUAGCCUACUUGCUUAGGCAGGAACUUCCCGAAGACCAAAAUGAGGCCCGCUGCAUAGUCCGGCGAUCUAAAGCCUACAAGGUCCAUGAGGGAGAACUUUAUAAGAAAAGCACAACCGGAGUCCUUCAAAGGUGUAUCUCCGAAGAGGAAGGGCGAAACCUCCUGGCUGAAAUUCAUGCCGGACUAGGCGGACACCACGCAGCAUCUCGGGCCCUUGUAGGAAAGGCAUUCUGUACAGGAUUUUAUUGGCCGACGGCACGGGCAGAUGCUCAGGACUUAGUCCAAAGAUGCGUCGGUUGUCAGCUCUUUGCUAAUCAGAGCCAUAUGCCACCCACCGCCCUCAAAACUAUACCCAUUACCUGGCCGUUCGCGGUCUGGGGGCUUGACAUGGUUGGACCCCUUAAAGGGGGAACCCACAAGCAAAGGUACCUAUUGGUCAUGGUGGACAAAUUCACCAAAUGGAUAGAGGCCAAACCAGUCAAAACGGCAGAGUCUAGACCAGUGAUAGACUUUAUAUCCAGGGUAGUACACCGUUAUGGUGUCCCCCACAGCAUCAUCACUGAGCGGUCACUUACGAAAUCUGACACGCACUGGGUAGAGGAGCUCGACUCCGUACUCUGGGGGCUGCGGACAACGCCCAACCGUACUGCCGGAUUCACACCAUUUUUUAUGGUAUACGGCGCAGAGGCAGUUCUGCCCUGCGACAUCAUUCAUGACUCACCUCGAGUGCGCAUGUAUGAAGAAAGAGAAGCUGAGCUGGAUCGGCAGGACAGCUCGGACACAUUGGAGGAAGAACGCAACGUCGCCAAGGCUCGUUCCGCAUUCUAUCAGUAGCAGGCUCGAAGAUAUCAAAGCAGAGAAGUACGGGCCAAGACUUACAACGUUGGCGAACUAGUUCUACGCCUGCCGAACAAGAAAAAGGACAAGCUCAAGCCCAAAUGGGAGGGGCCCUUCAUUAUCGAUCAGGUCCUGACCGGCGGAGCGUACCGUCUACGAAAUGCAUCGGACAACCGACUCGAGCCGAACCCAUGGAACGCAGCCCGCCUCCGAAGAUUCUAUGCCUAGCGCUGGACUAAGAGUUUGUCCCCUUCCCCCGUCCAAAUUUUUACACUUCAGCUGCCUUUUGUUUCUCUUUCUUCUCUUAACCCUUUUCCUAAAAAGCCCUUAAGGGCCUACUUGCGCAUUGUUCGCACAUACUUGAUGUGCCAUCCGCACUCAUUAUACCUGGGGGCUUCUUUUCCAGAAGCUUAAUUAUAAGGGCUUCAUGCCCAGCACAUGUGUCAAGCUUCCACAUGUACCUUUUACUCACCAUUAUAUGCAUCGAUAUGACUUAAGUUUUGGCCAAGCUGGGUUGCCUGGCUCCUGUGCUUACCCCUACGUUCCCGAUUGUUCGGCUAGGAGGUAAAGGGAGCACCUCUGUGAUUGUUACUGCCGGGUCAGCCGGAUGUGUACCUCAGACUGCGUGAAGCCGAAAGCUAGCGUUCUUAAGGGAAUAUUCGGUCGGUGACUUGAAAGAUGAUUUUUUACCUACUUAUUUAUCUGCCCCCAGAUGUUUUUCUGCUUUUUUCGCAGUCCGGACAUGCACUUUAGGGCAUGCCUCCCAGGGAAAGGAACCCUUAACGGAACUAUUCUCGCUGGAAGAUGUUUCUUACUAACCAUGUAAUAUAACAUAACUAGUUGGGCACUUGUCUGAUAAAGCACUAAUGACCCCUACGCCUGGUCUCCAUGCAUACCCCCGGUUGUUUCUUAACCGAGAAGGUAUUCGGACACACUCCGGACUCUAGGGUCCUGAGGUUGAAGCGAAAAGGUCGGCAAAGACAAACGAUCUACAAUCCGGAUAGAAGGCAUUUCACAUGUCAUUUUAAAAAUACAUUGUCAAAUCUACUGACUGUAUUCCUCCUCAAUCCCGUCUAACAGGCCGUCCAAUUUACAGUCCCGUUGGGAAAAUUUAGCAGCCAACUCUACUUGGCCGUAUACUAAACUCACAGGGAUCUCCUUCCCAUCGCGCCCCACAGGUCCGACCUUGGCCAUGUGGUUGGGAUCCGCCUUCUUGUACCGCGUCUUCACCAUGGCCCAAGCCUCCCUGGCACCUUGGCGGCAGGCCGAAAUCUUCCAUAAACGGAAGCGCUGCCACACUCCCUGAAGCUUCUCCGCAAGCUCCCCAAGGCCCUCGGGUAGGGAGAGGGCUGGCCAUAAAGCCUGGACGACGCCGCUCAUUGCCUGCCAAACUCGUUCGAGCAGCUGCAACAGCUCGGGAAGUUGAUCACCCGUUGAUACGGGUAUCUCCUCCGCAGGGCGACCUGUGAGUAUACCUACAAGACAUAUUUUGUCAAUUGCCUUCCUCGCCGAACUCUUCUUUUCAAAGGAGUCCGCUCAAGCACUUACUAUAGAUGCCGCGAUGAAGCCGCUGAUUCUCCUUAACGGAGCCGGACAGCUCGGCCCGAACGCCUUUCAGCUCUUCUCCAAGCUGGGCGUGGGCAUAUUGGAGCUUGUUCCUUUCUUGCUGCACUCUAUUCAGCACCCUCUCACCGGCCUUCAGCUGGCGCAGUAGUUCCUGCCUGUCCGGAUCUUGUCCGGCAGCACCUGCAAUGUCAUUAUUAGACUUGCGCGCACGCCGCACAACGCUUAUAUUUUUUUUUAAAAAAUGUGUUACCAGGAGGGGUCUCUGUGUUUCCUCCUGUAGCAGCAAGUGCGGCCUCAAGUUGGGCCUUGCACUCUUGCAGCUCCUGAGACAGUUGGGUAUUCUUCUCGGUAAGAUCCUGCGUUUCAAAUGAUCCUUAAAUCAGUUAACAUAACUACUUUAAGUCUCGGGGGCUACUGGCAUAUAUAACUGUUAAAUUCUCUUACCCGUAUGUCUUUUACAUACUGCUCCGUGGCUCUGGUAAAACCAUCUUGAGCAGCACUGAGGUGCGCGUCCCCCGCGUUAAAGGCAUUUAAUGCCUCAGGGGAGAAGCACGCAUCAUGAAAUACUGUCCGGCGGCGCCUAUGGUUCAUGGCAAUCUCCACCUCAGACUUGGUGGCGGACAGUCUGUCGGCAUCCUCCGUUGGAGGAGUGUCCGGCUCGCGCCUUGCUCUCGCCUCCCCCUCCAGGCCAGGUGCUGGAGCCUGGCUAGUAGAGGUUGGAUUGGCAACCUCCACGCCCGCAGUCCGGCGGGCGCUUUUUCUCCUACAAAGAUCAUGAGCACUCAAACGCUUCCUAGGAACGUUGCUCCGAAUAAUUAACUACGAGCUAUACCUUUGCGGCAAUGUUUCAGUCCGCGCCACGCUCCUCUUCCGCCUACUGGUCCGGACUGGCCUUUGUUGGUCAGCCGCUGCGGGCUCGGCUUCCCGCCUUGAAGGCGCUUCCUGCAAAACACCAUCGUACGCGAAGGUCAGAAAUGAGCAAGGAAGAGAUAAUGGUGUCAGGACUUCCAUCACAAUCACCUGGGAAGCCGGAUAUAGUCCGGGGUAGUCAGCCGUAAUGGUGACUAAAGCAUUAUCCAUGCUGAGCUGGUGGAACACCCCGUCAAUUAGCUCCACCUGAAUGUCCGGAUCCUCUUCGGAGGCCGGAUCCUGGGAUCUCUCUGGAUCCUCGGGUUGCGGAGCUGGACUUAUCAUGUCCUCCACAAUCCGACGCAGUUCCUACGCCGAAGACAUAAUAUAAGAAGCUUAAACUUUGAAAGCAUGGUCGGACCCUUAAAGUGUUCGCUUACCCAACGCCGAGGGUUAUUCAUGGAGAACCCAUUCAAGGGGUUCGUCUGAAGGAAGUUCUCCUUCUCCCCCUUGUACAGGCCGGACAGGAUCUGUACCAGAUCCUCGGCCGAAUCCGGUCCUUUGCGGCCAUGGCGGGAGGCAUCGUCUUCCCCGUUGAAAUCCCACAUAGGGUGGCCCCUGUAUUGCAGUGGCUGCACCCCCCGCAUAAUGCAUGUUGCCAUGACUCCAAUCAUGGUCAACCCGGAAUGGGCCAGUAAUCUUAUUCGGCCCAUCAGAUAAUGGACGCUCUUGUCUUCCUCCAGUUGGGGGCUCCGCAGGCGCCAACUAAGGCGUUUCUUCAGAGGAGCAGUACUGAACUCCGGGAGGCCGAUCCGAACAGGGUCCGGCAGCGGAGCGUCUUCUAUGUAAAACCAUUCUGAAGGCCAGUCUUCGGACGCCUUCUUAGGGGUUCUGGAUGGAUAUCCGGUCCCGGCAAUGCGCCAUAUUUCGGCGCCGCCCACUUGAUAUAUAGACCCCUCGUGAGAACAGGGUACGAGGCAGAACAACCUCUUCCAUAGUGCAAAAUGGGGCUCGAUGCCCAGAAAUAGCUCGCAAAGAGCUACGUAACCCGCGAUAUGAGGCGGGUGUAAGGUGAUGGAGCUGGAGUCCGUAGAACUCUAGGAGCCCGCGGAGGAAUGGAUGUAUAGGAAAUCCGAGUCCCCUUAUCAGAUAGGGGACGAAGCAUACCCGAUCCCCUUUGUUGGGACUUGGGGUAGCCUCCGCUUGCUUCCCACCUUGGUAGGUGGCCAGCCCGGCUCGAACCGGAACCAUGAAGGCCGGAGGGAGAUAUCCCUCCGCUUGGAGCUUCACCAGCUCGUUGUGCGGAAUAGAGCAUCGCCUCCAAUCUCCUGGCAGAGGGCUGGGAGCGCGAGAAGAGGAGCUGCGUCGACGGUCCAUGAUGGAAUGGAUUCUGGGUCAAAAGCGCUCCGAUGAGUAUUCGCGGAAGGAAGAUGGUGUGAUUUGGAUCUGGAUUCUUGCCUCUCUUAUAGGCAGAUUAUUUGCACAGCUGGGGGGUAAAACAUAAAAGAUACCCUGGCUUUUCGCAUUCGUGCGAUGCGUGGAAGAAGGCCAUUAUUGGGCGUGGAAGCCAAGAAGGGCAACAUUGAUAAGGAAGCCGGACACUGUUCGGUAGGUACAUGGAACUUAAAAGGAGAACCCGCCUUGCAACGCCGAAGACUAUAUACGCGCUGGACUUAUCGUCAUUGAAGCCUGGUUCGGGGGCUACUGAGGGAGUCCUGGACUAGGGGGUGUCCGGACAGCCGGACUAUCAUCGUCCGCCGGACUCCAAGACUACGAAGAUACAAGACUGAAGACUCCGUCCCGUGUCCGGAUGGGACUUUCCUUGGCGUGGAAGGCAAGCUUGGCAAUACGGAUAUGUAGAUCUCCUACCAUUGUAACCGACUCUGUGUAACCCUAGCCCUCUCCAGUGUCUAUAUAAACCGGAGGGCUUUAGUCCAUAGGACUACAACAAUCAUACCAUAGGCUAGCUUCUAGGGUUUAGCCUCGUUGAUCUCGUGGUAGAUCCACUCUUGUACUACCCAUAUCAUCAAUAUUAAUCAAGCAGGACGUAGGGUUUUACCUCCAUCGAGAGGGCCCGAACCUGGGUAAAACAUCGUGUCCCUCGUUUCCUGUUACCAUCCGCCUAGACGCACAGUUCGGGACCCCCUACCCGAGAUCCGCCGGUUUUGACACCGACAGUGCUCCUUGCGGUAAGUUCUGCCCUGGAGGAAUACCGCGAGUACCCGAACGAAGGACAGUACUAGUCUGCUGAUCUGCCAGGCAAGCAACCACCCCAUUUUAUUAUAUCGAUAAAAUCCCAUGUUCUCGCUCUUGCUCUUGUUUACUGCAUUUAAGACAACCGCAUUUCAAACUGCUGUGUGCUAUGGUAGUUGAACCCAUUUCCUCUGCAUUACCUGUCUUUGCCACAAUAACUAUAUGAAACCCACUAGCAUGUGUAGUAGUUGAUUGAGCCAUGUUUGUGUUUCCUACCAUGCUAUGCCUGCUAUGCUUAGAGUUGUGUCAGGUCUAGUUCAUCUGGGUGAUGGGCUAGAGUGAAAUGAUCAUGUCGGUGAUGUGAGUGAUGUGUUGAACACGAUUUGGUAAAGGUAUCGAUGAGAGGCCAUGUAGGAGUACAUGGUGGGUUGUUUCAUUGGAACCGUCCUUAAGCACUGAGAUCUGUAUGUGUGAUUUAAGAUCAGCUACUACCAUGCAUCGGGAUCCUUAAUUGACCCUCUCGGCUUCUUAACCACCCUUGUCCACUGUCUAGGAGUUGCAAGUAGUUUCUAGUGUUUGUAGUAUACUGGAGGCCGUGCGCACUGCUGACCCUCGGGGUGGGCUGUGAUGCAGUAGGUACGUGGCCGGGCAUGCCUGGUGCCCGUUUGGUGUCUCGGAACCCUAUGCACAUCGUUCGGGGCCGUAUGUGGAAACCUCGGCCGGACUCCUUGCGGAUGGAACCUGAAUAGGCGAUAAACCUGGACUAGAGACUUGAGUGUUUAGGUAGGCCGUGGCUGACACCCUCGUUGGGCUUCCGCGUGAAGGUUGCCGAGUACAUGUCGUGUAAACGACGAUAAGUGGUGGAAGCAUGUGUGAAGAAGUACACCCCUGCAGGGUACAAAACUAUUCGAAUAGCCGCAUCCGCGGUAAAGGACUACUUGGUUGCCUAUACAAUUCAUAGACAAGUAAAUGGAUACUCCUAAAAGCCUCAAGACAAGUGUGAGUGUCAUGGAUGGCCCUUCUAUAGGAUGACGGAGGAGGAUCCGCGGUAGUGUAUUGUUGUGGUGAGUAGUGGACUCGUGUGCACAAAACAUUUACGAGUUGCUGUCUCGUAGGAUAGCUUAGCCAAGAGUCAAAGAUGGCUUGCUACAAUUAACUCCACUAUCCCUUUGUUGAUAAUGUGCAUGUAUGUAGGAUCUGAUGUAAGUCUUGCUGAGUACCUUUGUACUCAUGUUUGCUUAAUUACUAUUGCAGAAGAGAAUGUCGCCCCUUUCGAUGGGUUCUAUGUAGAUCUCGACAUUGAUGAGUAGCUUGAUGCCCAGGUGGUGACCCUGAGCUUGUGAAUGGCCUUUGUGGUUAGACAGGCUUCGUCAAGCCUUCUUUCCUUCUAGUUGUCUGUGCUUGUAUGUUUGUAUGACUUGAGUGUUGGGUUGUGUGACUCCUACCUAUAUGAACAUGAUAUAUAUGGCUCUCUGGAGCCUUUAAAUAAAGUACUUGAGUUGUAGAGUUUUGUUGUGAUGCCAUGUUGUAUUUGCACAUAUCGAGCAUAUUGUGUGUAUGUUUGAAAUGCUUGGUAUGUGUGGGAUCUGACUACCUAGUUGUUUAUCCUUGGUAGCCUCCCUUAUGGGGAAAUGUAGUCUAGUGCUUCCACUGAGUCAUGGUAGUCUGCUACAGCCCGGUUUACCGGAGUCCUGUUAGCCCAGUUGUUACCGCUCCGGAACACUUAGACUGGCCGGCAUGUGGCCUUCUUCGUUCCUGUGUCUGUCCCUUCGGGGAAAUGUCACACGGUGUCUACCGGAGUCCUGUUAGCCUGCUACAGCCCGGAUUCUCCGGAGUCCUGCUAGCCCAGCUGCUACAGCACGGAUUCACUCGCUGAUGACCGACACGUUCGUUGCUGGGUCAUGUAUACAUGUCCCUGUAAGUUAGUGCCACUUUGGGUUCACAACUAGCCAUGUCAGCCCGGGUUCUUUGUCAUACGGAUGCUAGCGACACUAUCAUAUACGUGAGCCAAAAGGCGCAAACAGUCUCGGGCCUGGUAAGGCGACACCUAUGGGAAUACCGUGCGUGAGGCCGCAAAGUGAUACGAGGUGUUACAUGCUAGAUCGGUGUGGCAUUAGGAUCGGGGUCUUGACAGCGUUGGCAUCAGAGCCGGACUGCCUGUAGGUUCUUCAAGCCAAACUGGUCGAUGUCGAGUCUAGAAAUGCUUUAGUUAUAUGUAGGGGAAUUGAUUGUUGGAGGGAACGCAAGGCUCUUUUUACUCCUUUACCUUAUGCCCUUCCGAUCUGAGUCAUCCUCUUCUCUUUCUACGUGGGUUCAGGACUAGGAUCUCAUCUCUCUAUCAGGUUCACGUGUUACUACUUCGUAGAAUUUUAGGAUUGUUGGUUCCAGGCCUUGGUUCAGUUUUUACUACAUGUAGUAUGUUGUCAGUUGGACCCAGAACCUUGAUAUGAUGUUAUUGAGUGGCUUUGGAUACUGUUGUGAAUGUCUCAAAUCUUUUUCUGAGCAUUUACAGCCGUUAUGCUGCCCGAUUUCUCCUAGAAAUUCUAAUGCCUUUGCAUUACUUCGUGUUUUAGAUGGCUUCCCGCACCCCACAUCAGGUGACGAAGAAGAAGAAGAAGAAGAAGAAGAAGAGGUUAGGGGUGCAUCGGCGCCAACGGAACCGGGUCAAGGUUAGCGGUGCGUCGGCGCCGACGGAACCGGGUCGAGGAUCACCGGUUCCCAAGGGGUCGAGGGUCUGGGCAGAGGGUUGAGGAUCGAGGGGCGAGGUGUCGAGGGUCUAGGGGUCGAUGGUCGAGGAUAUUCCAGUCCGAGUGCUGACCAACUGGUGUCUUAGCUUAAGAUGAGGACGUCCCCGAGCUGAAGGUCAUGAAACAUGAAGGGAAAAUAUAUAUCAAGAAUGACAUAACACUACAUCAAAUGAUAAGGUAGAAAGAAUUGCACUUUGAAAUGCAAGAUAAAGAAUACUUGAGCUCCUCUGAAAAGAAUCUCGAUGAACACUUCGAGAAGUAAUUAAAUCCUUGAUUAACAGCCAUGUAGAACCUCCAUGAAGAACUCCGGUAAUAAAAGAAUGAUCAAAAGAAGUGAAGGAUGAAAAGAAUUAGAUGAACCCUUGAAAUGAUUAAAUGGAGCUUCGCUAUGAGAUAAUGCGGAAAAACUUGGAACUCUGGAAAAGAAAGAUGAAACAAUUGAAACCGAGAAUUUGAUGAACCUCCGGAAUAAGGAAUUAAUCACUUGGAUGAAACAAGAAUAAGAAUUACAUUAUGCUUAUCCUUCACCAAUUUAAAUUGAUGACAAGUAACGGAUUUGGCAUACUACUUUUUUGUGGAAAGGAUUAAAGAGAGGUAUAGCUUAAACUUGAGAAAGUCUUGAACGAACCACCGGUAGGGUUGAAACAACGAAUAAUUAAUAUGAUAACAAAGGGAAAGAAGUCUUGAAUGAACCACCGUAAGAAUUAAAAUGACCGAAGAAAAGAUAAAGGAACACUGGGAAGAAUUAUAAAAUGAACGAAGAUACUUGAGAGAAUUUAGAUGCAAGUGAACGAAGAGAUCCCGAGCUGAUAAGAAUACUUGAAUGAUGCACAGGUAAGAUUAGGAGAACGAUAACUGAAAGCUGGGAAUGAAUAUAAACCCGAAAUGAUGGCCUUCGGAGAAUCAAAUUGAAAAGACUCAUGAAUUGCUCCGGAAGGGUGAAAAGAAUUCUCACAAUCGAAAACAAUUACGAGAGGAUGGCAACAAGCUUGAAGAUUGCAUCUGGAAGAAUGGGUAAGAUUUGGAGGAGAAACUCUUCUUCGUUGUUCAAAUGUUGAGAAUGACGAUGAGAAAGACCACCAUGAAUUGUUGAGAUACUCUGGGAGAAUGAAAAACGAAGAGGUUGAGUCAACAAUGAAAAGAAUUUGAAAGAUCUUGAAGGAAUACAUUUGACUGAUGAUAACUCAUUCUUACGUCAAACUUGGAAAAGAAUUUGAGAGUAACUCCGGGAAAAUUAGAGGAGUCAGGUAAGAUCCUGGAAAAAGACCUGUGGGUUAGGGUCCACUCAAAAGAUACACCAUUGAACGAUUACUUGAAAGGGAAAUUGCACCGGUAAGAAUUAAAUGGCUUGAAUGAGAUAACAACCUCGAAAAGAGCUUGAACGAAAGCAGAGUGGAAACACGAAUCUUCAAGAUAUCUUCAGCACUUCGGAUCAAUUGAAUAGCGAUAAGUGGAUGAUUAAGAAGUGCACCGACAUGAGAAGGCAUUUUAAACGAGGAAAGGAAUAUGAUCAACAAGGCUUGAAUUGAAUCCACCGGAGAAGAAAGAGAACAAAGAGUGAUGAACUAGAAGCUCCGUUAGAAUCUUCCUGAGAACCACCAGAUAAGAACAUUGACGGAAAAGAGUGGAGAGACUUCACACCCAUACGAUGGAUACUUGAUUAAGAAAUAUGAGUCCUUGAAGAAAAAGGGUGGGAGGGCGGGAAAACAAAAGACAGCUCGGGACGGAUGAAACGAACACUGUUAAGAAAGCUAAGAUUGGAUCUUGCAAAUGGGAAAAUGAUAGGAUCAACUUGAAGAGGAUCGCACCGGUUGGAAAUAGAAUUGAGAUGACAAUCUCGAUAAAUAAGAAGGGUUACUAUUCACAUAGGAAUAUGAGAAAACCGCUUAGGAAAGGUAUGGAAUCAACACUUGACAUUGAAGCAACUCGAAUACCACAACUGAAAACAAAAACAAAGGAUUGGCUUGCAAAAUAAGCUGGAAACAAACAUAUGAUAGAUCCCAUAUCGUAUCAUGUGUCUAUUGGAAAGAUAUUCUAGGAGCUACUUGAAUUCCCACUUAUAAACUCCCGAAACUUUUUGGUUAUGCAAUCAGGUGUUGGGGAUACAGGGGAAGCAUAAUAUCUCACCCAAACUAACAAAUCCUACAUCCAGCUGUAUCCAUCCUUCAACACAUAACCAAGAAACCUUCGGAAAUCAUUUACCUCAACCUUCGAAAAACAUCCAUUAUACGAGUUAUGGAAAUACUCCCGAACUCCCGCCCAGUACUGGGUGGCGUCGAGGUUAUCUCACCAACAACUGCAUAAAAGAGAUUUUUUAUGUCGGCGAAACUCAGGUAUUCCAGAAUUGCAACGAUAAAAUUGUGACGACAACAUCUUGGAGCUCAACUCCCCGGGACACUGCCACAACCCCUAAAUGUCAGGAGGCACCAAGAAUAAUGUUCUCGUCACAAAACCAUUGGAACGAUUCCAAGAUACCCGCGUGAUCCUAAAAAAAUUCAUGAAAUUUGAGGAGAGAAGAGUCAAAACUCUACGUCAGGAGGCCUCACCAGAGCGACGAAGGUACUGAGGAGUAAAAAGAAUCCUACUCUUCGAUAUAUAUAAUCCUAUAAGACUCAAAACAUUUUUCUAGACUCAACAACGUCAGCGAUUCGAUCAAGCAGGGGGCUCCUAAGCCAGGGAUGGCUCUGAUACCAACUUGUAACACCCAUGAUGCGGCUAUAUCUCCCAUGUGUCGGGGCAUGACUUAGAGGCAUAACCGCAUGGUAGGCAUGUCGCAAGUGGGGUAAUCUUUGCACAUCCCAUGUAUUGAAUAAGCAAGUGAUAAAGAGUUGUCUUACAAUCGCCACUUCACACAAUACAUAAAUAUAGCAUUACAUACAAUCAAGGUCCGACUACGGAACCAACAUAAAUAAAAGACAACCCCAAAUGCUAGAUCCACAAUCGCUCCAACUGGGCUCCACUACUGAUCGAAAGGAAACGAAACACAACAACGAAAAGGUCUUCAUCAAGCUCCCACUUGAGCUCGGUUGCGUCACAUGCACUGGUAUCAUCGGCACAUGCAAACUGGUUUUGGAAGUAGCUGUGAGUCACGGGGACUCAGCAAUCUCACACCCACGCGAUCAAGACUAUUUAAGCUUAAGGGUAGGAAAAGGUAGUGAGGUGGAGCUGCAGCAAGCACUAGCAUAUAUGGUGGCUAACUUACGCAAAUGAGAGCGAGAAGAGAAGCAAAGCACGGUCGUAAACUAUAAGUGAUCAAGAAGUGAUCUUGAAACUACUUACUUUCAAGCAUAACACAAGAACCGUGUUCACUUCCCGGACCCCGCCGAGAAGAGACCAUCACGGCUACACACGCGGUUUAUUCAUUUUAAUUAAGUUAAGUGUCAAGUUUUCUACAACCGGAUAUUAACCAAUUCCCAUCUGCCCAUAACCGCAGGCACGGCUUUUGAAAGUUCAUAACCCUGCAGGGGUGUCCCAACUUAGUCCAUCACAAGCUCUCAUGGUCAACGAAGGAUAUUCCUUCUCCCAGGAAGACCCGAUCAGACUCGGAAUCCCGGUUACAAGACAUUUCGACAAUGGUAAAACAAGACCAGCAAGACCACCCGAUGCGCCAACAUCCUGAUAGGAGCUGCACAUAUCUCGUUCUCAGGGCAACACCGGAUGAGCGCUCCGUACAACUAAAACCAGCCCUCAAGUUCCCCUGAGGUGGCGUUGCAAAGGACUCUAGUUCGGACCAACACUUAGAGAAGCACUGGCCCGAGGGGGGGGCGUUAAAAUAAAGAUGACCCUUGAGUCUGCAGAACCCAAGGGAAGGUGAUAGGUUGUUAGUGCAAAUGUAAAACCAAGGUUGGGCCUUGCUGGAGGAGUUUUAUUCAAAGUGAACUGUCAAGGGGUUCCCAUAACAUCCAACCGCGUAAGGGACACAAAAUCAAGGAACAUAACACCGGUAUGAUGGAAACUAGGGCGGCAAGAGUGGUACAAAACACCAGGCAUAAGGCCGAGCCUUCCAUCCUUUACCAAGUAUAUAGGUGCAUUAAAGUAAACAAGAUAUAAUAAUGAUAUCCCAACAAUAACCAUGUUCCAACAAGGAACAAACUCCAUCUUCACCUGCAACUAGCAAUGCUACAAGAUGGGCUGAGCAAAGCGGUAACAUAGCCAAACAACGGUUUGCAAGGAAAAGGUGGGUUAGAGGCUUGACAUGGCAAUAUGGGAGGCAUGAUAAAGCAAGUGGUAGGUAUCGCGUCAUAGCAAUAGAGCGAGCAACUAGCAAGCAAAGAUAGAAGUGAUUUCGAGGGUAUGGUCAUCUUGCCUGCAAAGUUCUCCGAGUUGACGAAAGCUUGAUCCUCGUAAGCGUACUCAACGGGUUCCUCAAUCACGUACUUGACUCCCGGCUCUACCCAAAGUAAGAACACAAGCAAAGGAAACAACAAUCAACCACGGUGCAAUGCACAAGCAACAUGAUGCAAAAGAUGGCAUGAUAUGCGAGAUGUGAUAUGCAAUGCAUAUGCUUGCUUCGGGAGGGAAAGAUUGAACCAAGCCUCAACUUGGCAAACCAAGUGUGCCGCUGGAAAGAUGAGUUGAUUUCGGUCGAAAUCGAUAUAAAGAUCACCGGAAUCGGAUGCACGGCUUGCAAAUGGCAAGCAAAACAAGAAUGGCACAAUUCUGCGAUUAACAGCAUGAUGCCAUCUAGAAUGCAACACGAAACUAAGCUACUGCACUCCAACAUAGCAACAAAGCAUAUGGCAGUGAUCUACUCAAGAUGCUUGACAAAAGAUGAACACUGAGCUACGGCUAAAUCACACAAGAGCAGGUUAAAACUAGCAUGGCAAAAGUGCAAACUAUAUCAGCUUCACAGACUUGGUGAAAAUAACAUGCCAGGAAUUAACAUCAGCAAGCAAUGUUUAUAUCAAGCAAACGACAUGCUACAUGAAAAUAUCAUAGCAAAACAAGGCAUGACAAGAAUCUACUCAAAACAUAGAACAAAAGUCCCUUACUUACCAUAAGCCAAAAAGGAUCAGAAGAUAUGAUGGAAACCAUGUAAACAUAGCAAGUCUCGUUAACAGAUUCAGACUUAGCAGAAAACAGAGCAUGGCAUAAACAGAAUUAUGAAGGCAUCCUUGCGAGCUCGAUGCACUCAACACAAGGCAUUGCAUGACAAGCUAAGCAUACUACCAGCAAGAAGACGUGUUCAAGAAGCUAACCAUGGCAAGAACAAGUUUAAAGCAUGCUUGGAUCAACUACAACAACCAUGGCAAAAUUGAUUAACAUGUAAACAAUCUGCCAGGAACAUUUUAUAGCAAAAGUAGAGCAAGAUUAAGUCAUGCUACGGCACUCCAUAAUUGCAAACAGGGGCAUUGGUAAAUAGAGAAUAACCAUAUGUCCAAAUUAUCCUUACUGAAGCAACUCAAAUAAAGCAUGUAUCACACUGUAGCAACAUGAAUACAUGGCAUAAAAAUAACAGCAGACAGACAACCAAAAUCCUGAGAUCCUGAAAUCAGCAAUAUCACGAAGGCUACUUUGCAUGCUUGUGCUAGUCACCACAUUGAUCACAAAAAUACAUGGCAUACACCCCUGUAAAGAUGGCAUGGCAUAGACCAAAACAAAUGUAGAGCUCAUGCCUAUAUGCAGCACACAACAAAUGUAGCAAAAAUGACAAAUGCUCAUACUCUGCUAAGAAUUAGCAUCUAACAUUUUAUAGCACUCUUGCAUCAACUAUUUGGGCAUCAAGAUGGACUCAAAUAAGCAUGGAACAAUGGAAAAAAUGAAGAGCACAUCCUGAUGAACAUUUUGAUAUAUCAUGCAUGCAAAACGGAUCUAUGGAUGAGGAGUUAUGGCAUGUUGAACAGGGCGCCGGAGGACGUAGGAGUGUCGGAUUGCAAAACGGACAACGGGGAAAAUGCUCGGAUGCAUGAGACGAACACGUAUGCAAAAGCGAUGCACAUGAUGACAUGAUAUGAGAUGCAUGACAUGAACAAAAUGCAAAACAAAAACAAAACCCAACCACGAAGGAAAACUCCUAUCGCAUCUCCGGAAAAGGCAAGAGUCGGAGUUACCAAAAUGGAAAGUUGUAUCCGGGGCGUUACAUCCGUGCAGGAUGCUGCUUACUCGAUGAUGACUAUUAUGCGGGCUAGGCUUGCUUUGCUUCAGAACAACGAGUUUUGCUAUAUGCCAGCAUCACUCCCUGGGGCAGAAGGUUACUACUCGGCUCUUUACACCGACUCUGCUCAUGAGGAUUCGCUACUCCGCACUACCACAUAGUUGCUUGAGGAUAAGGACCGCGAGAAUCGUUCCUUGCGAUUGGAGAUUUUCAACACUCGAUCUGAUCACUGGGCUACUCUGACACGGUUUGCACCUGCUGUGCAGGCUGGGUAUAUGGAUAUGCGGGAUUUGUACCCCGUGCGGUCUGGUCUGCCGGAUCGUAUGGAUUGGCGUGAUGUAGGAGGCAUCACUCCUCCCCAUGGACCUCGUCUUCCACUAUUCGUUGGACCCAGGCCACAUCCGAGUCCUUAUGGACCACAAGCUCCACAGGAUCGACUGUUUCUAUAUGAUCACGUCCAGCUUCCAGGACAUGGGGGUAAUCUCUAUGAAGAUUACUACGGAGAUGUCUGAGCUGAUGGUAGCACCACUAGUAUUGUAAUAGUUGUAUCAUCCACAGUCCUGCGUGACUCGUGGGAUAUGACUAGUGUGUACUAAUUCCGGAGGUGUAGAAAAAUAAUGUAUAGGAGCUUGGGAUGCCUCCGAUGAGAUGUAAUCUUCCUUUCACCGCACUUAUACUUCCGGUUGGUCUUAUACUAAACCGUGUAUGGUGUGUAUGACCGAUGGUAUAAAUAUGGCAGUUUCUGUAUUACCAUGUCAUAUGGAUGAACAUCUUGCAUUCCGAGUCAUCCAUUACAUUCUGCACUUCUAUGUCAGAAUUUUGUCAUCCUUGUCUAAACCGUUGUUUUGAUUUUCCUAGGAUGGUCAACACCCGAAACAACCCUGCUGCCCCGGAGCAGGCUGAAGGCAGUGGGGCUAGACAUGCGAAUCUGCCUCAUCCUCCUUCCUUGGCCGAGGUCAUGCUGGAGGCCGAAAGGAAUAAACGCGAGACCAACCGAUUGCUGGAAUGCAUCGAGCAGAACACUGCACAUCACCAAAGGAACGAGUGUCUAUCAAUGACUUUAUCAAGUUGUACCCACCAACCUUCCAUCAUUCCGUCGAUCCCCUCGAUGCGGAUGAUUGGCUCCACAGCAUUACCCAUAAGCUACGUUCUGCAAGUGUAGCCGAAGCUAACAAAGUCACUUAUGCUACUUAUCGCCUUGAAGGCCCUGCUAGCUUUUGGUGGGAAAAUUAUGAGGCUAUGCGCCCAGCUGGAUUGAUCACCACUUGGGUUGAGUUCAACGAGGCUUUCCAUGAGCAUCACAUCCCGGAAGGUCUUAUGGAUUGUAAGAGGGAGGAGUUCGGCAAUUUCACUCAAGGCAGACUGACCGUAGAUGCAUACAGCCGUGAGUUUGGAAACUUGGCACGCUAUGUGAGGGAGUCCUGGACUAGGGGGUGUCCGGACAGCCGGACUAUCAUCGUCCGCCGGACUCCAAGACUACGAAGAUACAAUUGAAGACUCCGUCCCGUGUCCGGAUGGGACUUUCCUUGGCGUGGAAGGCAAACUUGGCGAUACGGAUAUGUGGAUCUCCUACCAUUGUAACCGACUCUGUGUAACCCUAGCCUCCUCCGGUGUCUAUAUAAACCGGAGGGCUUUAGUCCGUAGGACACAACAUACAUUACAACAAUCAUACCAUAGGCUAGCUUCUAGGGUUUAGCCUCCUUGAUCUCGUGGUAGAUCCACUCUUGUACUACCCAUAUCAUCAAUAUUAAUCAAGCAGGACGUAGGAUUUUACCUCCAUCGAGAGGGCCCGAACCUGGGUAAAACAUCGUGUCCCUUGUCUCCUGUUACCAUCCACCUAGACGCACAGUUCGGGACCCCCUACCCGAGAUCCGCCGGUUUUGACACCGACAUUGGUGCUUUCAUUGAGAGUUCCUCUGUGUCGUCACCGAUAGGCUUGAUGGCACCUUCAACCAACAACGCUGUCCAGGGUGAGACUUUUCUCCCCCGACAGAUCUUCGUAUUCGGCGGCUUCGCACUGCGGGCUAAUUCGCUUGGCCAUCUGGAGCAGAUCGAAAGCUACACCCCUGGCCGUCAGGUCAGAUUCGGAAGCCUAAACUUCACGGCCGAUGUCCGCGGAGACUUGAUCUUCGACGGACUCGAGCCACAGCCGAGCGCGCCGCAUUGUGACGAUGGGCAUGAUCUAGCUCUGCCGCCGAACAAUGCCCUGGUGGCCGCACAUGAAUCCGCUUCGGCCAUCAGUCCGGAGCCGAUCGCCCAGAUCGAGGAUCGGUGGAUAGACGCUGCCUCGGGGGCUUCAACUUCCUUGGCGAUGGAGCCGAACAUUAACCUUGUCCCCCGCAAAACUUGUGAUUCCGAGGUGCCGGACUCCUUGCCGGACUCCGAACCUCAUGCACCCUUCCCAACCAAUUCGAAUUGGGCGCCGGUUAUGGAAUUCACCGCCGCGGACAUCUUCCAGUACUCGCCUUUUGCCGACAUCCUGAAUUCACUAAAGCAUCUCUCGUUAUCAGGAGAGCCCUGGCCGGACUAUGGCCAGGAUGGUUGGGAUGCGGACGACGAAGAAAUUCAGAGCCCACCCACCACCCACUUUGUAGCCACUGUCGACGAUCUAACCGACAUGCUAGACUACGACUCCGAAGACAUCGACGUUAUGGACGACGAUGCCGGAGACGAACAGGAACCAGCGCCUAUAGGGCACUGGAAGGCCACCUCGUCAUACGACAUAUACAUGGUGGAUACCCCAAAAGAUGGGGACAGCGAAGAAACAGCGGAGGCAGAUCCUUUAAAGAAAUAGCCCAAGCGCCGGCAUCAGCGGCGCCGCUCUAAAUCCCGCCACAGAAAGAAUGGAGAUUCCGACACAGGAGAUAAUAAUACCCCAGAGAGUGCCAAAGACAAUCCCCUCCAGCAAGACUCAGUGCAGGAGGAUGCAGAAACAAGCCCUCAUGAGAGGGCGGCAGACGAAGAGGUUGAGGAUCAUAACUACAUGCCUCCCUCCGAAGACGAAGUAAGCCUCAACGAUGACGAAUUCGUCGUACCUGAGGAUCCCCUCGAACAAGAGCGUUUCAAGCGCAGGCUUAUCGCCACAGCAAACAGCCUAAAGAAAAAGCAGCAACAGCUUCAAGCUGAUCAGGACCUGCUGGCCGAUCGAUGGACCAAGGUCCUCGUGUCCGAAGAGUAUAAACUCGAACGUCCCUCCAAAAGCUACCCAAGACACAAGCUGCUCCCCCGAUUAGAGGAGGAGGCAUACAUACCUUCAUCACCAGCGCAUGAUAUGGCUGACCGACCACCCCGUGGUCGUGACAGAGAGGCAUCCAGGCCCCCAGCCAAGACCGUACCCCGGCAUCGCUCCAAAAGUACGAAGCCAAGAGGGAACGUGCCGGACUUGCGGGAUAUAUUGGAGGACAAAGCAAGAUAAUCCAGAUCCAUCUACGGAUCACGUGGGCGCCCCACGACCCAUGACGAAUACCGUCGCACCGGAUAUAAUAACCCCGGCCGGGCCGAACACGGCAGACAGCGCUCUCUCGAGCUGCGUCAUGAUAUUGCUCAAUACAGAGGCGCCGCACACCCACUAUGCUUCACUGACGAAGUAAUGGAUCAUCAAAUCCCUGAAGGGUUUAAACCCGUAAACAUUGAAUCCUGCGAUGGCACAAUAGACCCCGCGGUUUGGAUAGAAGAUUAUCUUCUCCACAUCCAUAUGGCCCGCGGCGACGAUCUCCACGCCAUCAAGUAUCUCCCACUCAAGCUUAAAGGACCAGCUCGUCAUUGGCUUAACAGCUUGCCCGCAGAGUCAAUUGGGUGUUGGGAAGACCUGGAGGCCGCAUUCCUGGAUAACUUCCAAGGCACGUAUGUGCGACCGCCAGACGCCGAUGACCUAAGCCACAUCAUUCAGCAGCCAGACGAAUCGGCCAGACAAUUCUGGACACGGUUCUUGACGAAGAAAAAUCAAAUCGUCGACUGUCCGGAUGCAGAGGCCCUUGCAACCUUCAAGCAUAACAUCCACGACGAAUGGCUAGCCAGGCACCUGGGCCAGGAAAAACCGAAAUCUAUGGCAGCCCUCACAUCAUUAAUGACCCGCUUCUGCGCGGGAGAGGACAGCUGGCUAGCCCACAGUAACAAUCUCGCAAACAUUCUGGCAGUCCGGAUACUAAGGACAACAACGGCAGGUCACGUCGAAACAAAAACAAACGCCGCAUUAACGGCGACGACAAAGAGGAUACGGCAGUCAACGCCGGAUUCCGAGGCUCUAAACCCGGUCAACGGAAGAAGCCAUUUAAAAGAACCACUCCGGGUCCGUCCAAUUUGGACCGAAUACUCGACCGCUUAUGCCAGAUACAUGGCACCCCUGAAAAACCAGCCAAUCACACCAAUAGAGAUUGCUGGGUGUUCAAACAAGCAGGCAAGUUAAUUGCCGAAAACAAUGACAAGGGGCUAAACAGCGAUGACGAGGAGGAGACCCGACCGCCGAACAAUAGAGGACAGAAGGGUUUUCCCCCACAAGUGUGGACGGUGAACAUGAUUUACGCAACCCAUAUACCCAAGAGGGAGAGGAAGCGUGCACUAAGGGACGUCUAUGCAAUGGAGCCAGUCGCCCCGAAGUUCAAUCCAUGGUCCUCUUGUCCGAUCACUUUCGAUCGAAGAGACCAUCUGACCAGCAUACGCCAUGGCGGAUUCGCCGCAUUGGUUUUAGACCCAAUCGUCGAUGGAUUCCACCUCACGAGAGUCCUGAUGGACGGCGGUAGUAGCCUGAACCUGCUUUAUCAGGAUACAGUGCGCAAGAUGGGCAUAGACCCCUCAAGGAUUAAACCUACAAAGACAACCUUUAAAGGUGUCAUACCAGGAGUGGAAGCCAAUUGUACAGGCUCAGUCACACUCGAAGUGGUCUUCGGAUCCCCGGAUAAUUUCCGGAGCGAAGAGUUAAUCUUCGACAUAGUCCCGUUUCGCAGCGGCUAUCAUGCUCUGCUCGGACGAACCGCGUUUGCAAAAUUCAACGUGGUGCCGCAUUAUGCAUACCUAAAGCUCAAGAUGCCAGGCCCUCAUGGAGUCAUCACAGUCAAUGGGAAUACGGAACACUCCCUCCGAACGGAGGAACAUACAGCGGCUCUCGCGGCAGAAGUACAGAGUAGCCUCUUAAGGCAAUUCUCCAGUCCGGCCGUUAAAUAGCCGGACACAGCAAAACGCGCCUGAAGCCAUACCAACCAAGACCACCUGGCGCGAUCAGAGCAUGCGUAGCAAUGCGGCCCCAACCCUCGCCCGCGUAUAAUCGCAAUAAUAACACUCCGCGUACAUCAUUACGCUUUGGAGAUACCAUGGGCAUAGGGGAGGGGACACGACCGCAACGGACCCAGAGUGCGGUUUGACCACACCAGGGGCUCACAAGUGUGCCCCCCUUUAUUUUAUUUUAUUUUCCUUCUUUUACGUACACAGGACUCCGUUAAUCAGAAGCCCUGUCCGGCGGCAAACUUGCCGAACUCAUGAUGCAACAGUCAGGGGCUAAAGAAAGCUGCGACGAACACUCAGGUGGUCUCAAUUACGAGCAUUAAAUUCGAUUAUAUACACCAAGUCCGCAGCUCACCCCUGGAGGGGGACAUGUUUAAUUAGUCCAAAUCCCUUGCUUACCGCACUAUUUGUAUCAGUCCGCACUCAUAGCAGGCUUUCUUUAAUAAAUAAUGCAACACUUCUUCACUGCAAUUACAUUACUUUUUAUAUAUAUGUUCAUUACAUGACAUCUUAUACCCGUAUAUUUUGGUACGGCUGAAUACACCAGGGGCUUACGUUCCCCACAUUAUGGUGUGAUAAGUCGGAACACUUUCACAAGUGCGGCACCCCGAACUUAUAGCAUUAUAUGAAUCGGCUCCGAAUCAUGUCUUGGGUCAAUAGUUGGGUUUGCCCGGCUCCCACGUUUUGGUGCCUUACGUUCUGUUCUGUCGGCUAAGGUGGCACGGGAGAACCACUGCGAUUGCGCCCCGGUUGAGUCGGGCGAGCGCCUCAGUGGAGAAAGCUAAAACUGACCGGCAUGAUAAGGCGAGAGACUGGUCGCUGUUCGAGAGGUUUUUUUUGGGUCCUUAAAGACUCACGCCGCUUCGAGCGAAGUUCCGGACACUGUCCGACGAAGGCGUGGAUAGUGCCCCGGAUUCGGUCUUCCGAAUACCAGGGGCUUCGCCGAAAUUUAAAAUUAUAGAAUUGUAUGGCUAAGUGAGAGUGUUCAAGCAUUAUAAGUCCGGUUGCCUUGUUCGUUGUGUUGAGCGCCUCCCUAGAUGGACCCAACAAUGGGAACAAGAGUGCUCAAGUUUAUCCCGAACACCCCAGCACUUGUGGCUUGGGGGCUGAAGCCAACGACUUGCCAUCUCUCAGAUUUUAUAAACGGCCGCACAGAAGGUAAUAUUUUAAAUUAAAAAAGCGUUGCUCAAAGCGCACAUGAACAAAGUUUCAGCGCAUAGGAUAAUACAUUGCAAAUUCACUCAAAGAUUACAUUUCCGGAGCACUCAUCCGCAAUAGCGCGGGCUCCCUUCAGGACAAUUUUAUAAUACAUUUCGGGCAUGCGAUACUCCUUGCCCGGUGGCGGUGGGUCCGUGAGAAGCUUCUCCGCAUCCAACCUGCCCCACUGCACCUUUGUGCGGGCAAGGGCCCGGCGAGCGCCUUCAAUACAGGCGGAGCGCUUGAUGACAUCGACCCAGGGGCAGGCAUCCACCAGCCGCCGCACGAGGCCAAAGUAGCUUCCGGGCAUGGCCUGUCCAGGCCACAGCCGAACUAUCAGGCCCUUCAUGGCCUCUUCAGCUACCUUGUGGAGUUCGACCAGCUGCUUCAGCUGGUCGCUUGGGGGCACCGGAUGGCCGGCCUUAGCGUACUGAGACCAGAAGACCUUCUCCGUCGAGCUCCCCUCCUCGCCACGAUAGAAUGCGGCGGCAUCAGACACACUACGCGGCAGAUCUGCAAACACCCCUGGAGAGCUCCGAACGUGGGUAAGUGUCAGGUAUUUUACAUUAACACGCUUGCUUUGCAUGAAAAAUGCCUUACCCGCCGCUAUCUUCUUUACAUCUUCCACCUCCUGAAGGGCCUUAUUGGCCUCGGCCUUGGCGGACUUGGCACUUUCGAGAGCCGAGGCAAGCUCGGACUCUCGAGUCUUGGAGUCACGCUCCAAACUCUCAUGCUUUUCCAUGAGAGCCUGGAGCUCUUGCCGAACUUCCGCCACCCGUGCCUCCUGCUUUUCUUUCUCUGCCCGUUCCGCGGCCGCACUGCGUUCGGCCGCGGACACAGCCUCCUUCAGGGCUGCCACCUCGUUAGUGGCCCCUGCAAUACACAUAUUAUCCUUGUUAAUUUUAUUGCAACCAAAAUCCUUUUCUGUAAGGUAACCAUUCAAAGUGGUGUGACUCACCUUCUUUGUCCUCGAGCUGCUUCUUGGCAUGGCCGAGCUCUUGCUCGGACCGCUCGAGAUCCUUUUUCAGUACAUCGACCUCCGCCGUUAGUGCGGCAGAGGUCAGCAGCGCAGCCUGCAAACCCAUAUUGACAUAUGUUAAGCAACCCUGCGUAUAUCUUGUUAGAUCCUCAGUCCAGCUUUUCUUUCCGAACACCGAACUGAGCAUCAGGGGCUACUGUCUAUGCGGUAUUACAUUACAUAAUUUUAACUUCUUACCUCAAAGCCUGUUAGAAGGCUGCUGCAGGCUUCGGUCAGCCCGCUUCUGGCGAGCUGAACCUUGUGAAUCACCGCACUCAUGAUAGUGCGGUGUUCUUCCUCGAUGGAAGCGCCUUUAAGCGCCUCCAGCAAGUUAUCCGGCGCCUCCGGUUGGACGGAGGCCGCUGGUGUCACGGUCUUGCCCUUCUUUCGAAGGGGCCGCUUGCCGGACUCUGGAACCACUGCGGGUUCCGUUAUAGAGUCCGGCGCAAAGUCCGGGAUGCUGCCUGACGGCGCCCCCGGAGCCUCCUCCUGAUGGGUCCCUCUCUGGGAUCCCACCUCGGCGUCCUCGUUGGCGCGUGGGGUAGAGGCAGCCGGAAGUGAAUCCACCUCCGACGGGGCCAAUGACCCGCUCGAUGAGUCGGGGAGAUCAUCACCAGCCGGACUAUGGACCGAAUGCGGCGUUAGAAGGACACUACGCGACAUAAAAGAUAUUGCAUAUCAAGGAUCCGGAUACUUAUGAUCUUGCCGGACGCUUGGCCCUUGGAGGCCACUCCUCCUCGCCAACGUUGGUGUUGGCGAAACUGUCCGGGGGGAUAGUCCUCCCCCUCUUGGACCCUUCGGCCUCCCCUAUUGGGGAAGCCUUCCUCUUCUUCUCUCCCUCUUCUGGGAGAGAAUCCUCCUCCUCCUCCUCGUCUUCGGGGGAGGAUUCCGCCUCGUCGUCGGACACCUGAUUGCGGGAACUCUUUCGAGUCCCCGCGGCCACCUUCUUGGCCUUCUUCUCCGGCACCACGUGCGAUGCCGGAACCAGCAGCCCUGCUAAACGGGCGUUCACUGGGUCUUCUGGCAUAGGAGCCGGGCUGAUAAGUAGCUUGGCCUUCUCCAGCCAUUCCUGUCAAAGGAAGAGACAGAAUGAAACCCUUCUAGAAUCAAUUUAAUUACCACAAGUGUCCCGUAAAGGGGUUGAAUCACUUACCUUGUCAGCCGGAUGCUGCGAGCGAAAUCCGCGAUCUUCUGUCGCGGAUGUGGGGGCUUCGGCGCCCUUAAACAGCACCCUCCAGGCGCCUUUGUAUGUCGUACCGAAGAGCCCGCUCAGCGCCUGGUGCUGUUCCGGAUUGAACUCCCACAGAUUAAAUGCCCGUUCUUGGCAUGGGAGAAUCCGGCGGACGAGCAUGACUUGGACCACGCCAACGAGUCUGAGCUUGCCGCUCACCAGCUUCUGGAUGCAGACUCGGAGUCCCGUCAGCUCCUUCGAAUUGCCCCACAACAAGCCCUUCUCUUUCCAGGAGGUGAGCUGCGUGGGGACGCCAGAUCUAAACUCGGGGGCCGCCGCCCUUGUGGGCUUGCGCGGCUCGGUGAUGUAGAACCACCUCGAUUGCCACCCCUUGAUGGAGUCCACGAAGGCCCCUUCGAGCCAAAGGACGUUGGGUAAUUUACCCAACAUGGCACCUCUGCAUUCCGCUUGCGUGCCCUUCACAACCUUCGGCUUGACGUUGAAGGUCUUGAGCCACAGGCCGAAGUGGGGCCGGAUGCAGAGGAAAGCCUCGCACACGACGAUGAACGCCGAGAUGUUGAGGAUGAAGUUCGGCGCCAGAUCGUGGAAAUCUAGGCCGUAAUAGAACAUGAGCCCCCGGACGAAUGGAUGGAGCGGAAAGCCCAGUCCGCGGAGGAAGUGGGGGAGGAAGACAACCCUCUCAUGGGGCCCAGGGGUAGGGAUGAGCUGCCCCUCGUCGGGCAGCCGAUGCGCGAUAUCGCCGGAAAGAUAUCCGACGUUGCGCAGAUUGGUGAUGUGCUCCUCCUUAACGGUGGAGGCCAACCAUUUGCCUCCCGCUCCGGACAUAUUCGGAGAAGGUCGAGGCUAGAUGCGCGAGCUUGGGCGUUGGAGCUUGAGUGUGCGGAGACGGAUAAGCAAAGGAGGAAGAAGGCGUAGGUGAGAAGGAAAAUCCUUAUCCCUUAUAUAUAGGCGGACGAAACUAUGCGUCCCCCACCGGCUUGGUAAAACUCGCUUAUCUCCCAAGCGCCACCGUCAAUGGCGCGGUUGGGUUACCCACGUCCGUAUUCAUGAGAAUCCCGGAAUAAGGGGAACACGAUCUCUGCUUCGACAAGACGUGCCAAGGAAACCGCUUCGCUAAACGUGCUGAGGUGGUAUAGUAAAAAACAAUUCAAACAAAGGCUUGGUAGCGGUGUGAUGUCACGCCGCAUAAUACGUCAGCAGAUUGGACUAGUGUACAUUUUAUUCUCUCUACGGUGGGAUGUGGAAUUUAUUUUGCAGAGCCGGACACUAUCCUGGUGUUCAUGAUCUUCUCUGGAUUAUUCAAGGGAGGAACCCGCCUUGCAACGCCGAACAUUAUGCGCGCCGGACUUAUCGUCAUUGAAGCCUGGUUCAGGGGCUACUGAGGGAGUCCUGGACUAGGGGGUGUCCGGACAGCCGGACUAUCAUCGUCCGCCGGACUCCAAGACUACGAAGAUACAAUUGAAUACUCCGUCCCGUGUCCGGAUGGGACUUUCCUUGGCGUGGAAGGCAAGCUUGGCGAUACGGAUAUGUAGAUCUCCUACCAUUGUAACCGACUCUGUGUAACCCUAGCCUCCUCCGGUGUCUAUAUAAACCGGAGGGCUUUAGUCCGUAGGACACAACAUACAUUACAACAAUCAUACCAUAGGCUAGCUUCUAGGGUUUAGCCUCCUUGAUCUCGUGGUAGAUCCACUCUUGUACUACCCAUAUCAUCAAUAUUAAUCAAGCAAGACGUAGGGUUUUACCUCCAUCGAGAGGGCCCGAACCUGGGUAAAACAUCCUGUCCCUUGUCUCCUGUUACCAUCCGCCUAGACGCACAGUUCGGGACCCCCUACCCGAGAUCCGCCGGUUUUGACACCGACAGUAUGCACCUGAGGAAGUGUCCACCGACGCCAAGAAGCAGGCGAGGUUCCGAAAGGGACUUAGCCCCAAGCUUCGCCGUGAUCUCCGUCUACACGAGUGCACCUCCUUCCAGAAGCUUGUGAACAAAGCCAUCAGUGCUGAAACGGGCCAGACUGACUAUGAAGCUACAUGCAAGCAUUCCCGUGAUUUUGGUUCUUCAUCCGGUUCUGGCUCUCAGAAGCGCCGGGUGUGGAUUUCAAACAGAACUUUGCCAACCAGGUUCACUCCGAGGCCAUCCUAUGAGGCGCCUCGUCCAACCUAGCAGUAUGCACCGCCUAAGACUUACGGUGGACCAGCCGCCAAUGCUGCCCCAUGCACUAACACUGUGAAAUGCUUCAAGUGCGGAGAGCCAGGUCACUACCUUCGAGAGUGUCCCCAUAAAUACAACCCCAACCAGCCUAGAAAGUCCGUUGGCCGUGGUAAACCAGCGGGGAAGGUGUCCUAUGCCAAGCCAGCCACCACUGCACGUGGCCAUGUCAACUAUGUCUCAGCCGAGGAGGCUCAUGAUGAUCCCAACGUCGUUCUUGGUACGCUCCUUGUUAAUUGUCAUCUGGCAUCUGUUCUUUUAUGAGAGCUAUGCUCGAUUGCACAACACAAAAUUCGGUGACAUGCCCACCACCAUGGAAAUUCAAACUCCUGGCUCUAGAUGGCAAACUUCUAGAGUAAGCCAUGGGAAUGAAAUUCUUGUCGAUAGACUGGUUUUCCUUGCAUCUUUGAUAGCUCUCAAGUCCUCGGACAUAAACAUCAUCUUGGGUAUGGACUGGAUGUCAGCCGAUUAUGCUAAGAUUGAUUGUGCCACUAGAACUGUUCAACUUACACAUCCAUCGGGCAAGACAGUCAAUGUGUUAACCCGAGUGUCUAAGCAUCAGCUCUACUCUCUCAAUGCCAGUCCUCUUCCAGACCUCGAAGACAUACCGGUAGUCCAUGAUUUUCUGGAUGUCUUUCCAGAAGAACUACCAGGUGUUCCACCUAACAGAGAUGUCGAGUUCGUAAUAGAUCUUAUUCCAGGAACUGUCCCAAUCUCUAGAAGACCCUAUAAGAUGGCACCCCUAGAACUAGCUGAGCUUAAGAAACAACUCGAUGAGUCCUUGAAAAAGGGUUUCAUCCGUCCUAGUUCUUCCCCAUGGGCUUGUCCCGUCCUCUUCGCCAAGAAGAAGGAUGGUACGGAUCGGAUGGUUGUAGAUUAUUGACCCGUCAACUUGAUCACAAUAAAGAACAAGUAUCCGCUCCCCAGGAUCAACGACCUGUAUGAUCAGCUAGCUGGAUCCUCAGACUUCUCUAAGAUGGAUUUGAGCUUGGGCUACCAUCAAAUCAAAAUCAAGAACGAGGACAUUCCCAAAAUGGCCUUUGUUACUCGUUAUGGCCAAUACGAGUACACUGUCAUGUCCUUAGGUUUAACCAAUGCCCCAGCCACUUUCUCUCGGUUAAUGAACUCGAUCUUCAUGGAGUAUUUGGAUAAGUUCGUCGUGGUUUACCUCGAUAAUAUACUCAUCUACUCCAAGAAUGAGGAAGAACACGCCAAGCAUCUAAGGCUAGUGUUGAUGAAACUUCGAGAGCACCGCCUUUAUGCCAAAUUUUCUAAGUGUGAAUUCUGGUUGCCAGAAGUAACCUACCUAGGCCAUUUAAUAUCUGGUAAGGGUAUUGCUGUCAAUCCCGAGCGAGUUCAGGCCGUUCUUAAUUGGACACCACCUGAAUCAGUCAAGCAAGCUCGGAGUUUCCUUGGCUUAGCGAGCUAUUGUCGCUGCUUUCACUACACCAUGACACUACAAAGACGACAUGCGGCUGUUGGUAAAAGUGAGCAUCGCCGACACUUUUUUUGGCCGAAACUAUUCCAACACACAGCAUGUCAGUGUUAGAUAAGCUCAUGUCACAUUAUCUGUCACCAAAGCACCAUGGAAUCACCGACGUAAUUUCUGUCGGCGUAUGAAGUCUUUAGUGAUUGUUUGUGUGUCGCCGAUUCAUGAGGACACAAAAAGUGUUGGCAUUGUUUGCUUCGGCCCAUAUAAAAAAAUUGGCGCUGAAAGAAGGCCAUGCGCACGCUAUGUGAAACACUCAUUCGGGGCGGACUAGCAAAAAAAACACGCAUCUCUAUCGCCCCCUCACACAGAAAUACCAACCUCACCUCUCUCCUCUCGUCACCCACACCCUAAACCUAACCCGAUUCCGCCGCCGCCGCCCCCGCCCGUCUGCGCCGCGGCCCCCGACCUGCGCGCCGCCGCCCUUCCACUGGUCCCCUCGCGCCACAUCAUCCCGACCCCAACCUCCCUCUAGCCCACAGUGCACCAUCCUCCCAGUUGCAGCAAGCCGUCCACCGCGGCAGGAGCAGCAGCGGCACCGAGGAGAAGCAGCGCCGUCAACCACCACCGGAUAGAUGCAGCAGCACCUUCCACCAGUGAGGAGAAGCAGUACCGUCAGCCAUGGAGGAUCCACCGUGGUUCUUCCUCCAUCGGCAAUGUCUGUUCCUGCGGAUCUUCUUUCCUCCGCCCAGCCUACAAAAUUCAAGAGGUAAGCUUUUGCCCCCAUUUUACUGAACUGAAACUGAAACAGAUAGAUCUAUCUUGCAGUGGUUAUUUUAGUUCAUCACAGAUAGAUCUCUGUUGCAAUCACAUGAACACAUCAGUUUUAAGCUGAAGCAAAUUAUUGUAGAUGUGUUUUGAAAAUCUUAAUUUGAUCAAACAAAGCCACUGGAAAAAAACUUUUUGUGUCCCCACGUGGAUGUGCUUUUUGUCUCUACAUGGAUCGAAAUUCAUAUCGCUCUAUAAUGCCCUGCUCAGGGGAGAUCGGGAUGCUGCGCGCCGCGCCCUGCUUGGAUCUGAUGGAGCGGGCGAGGUAGUGGUCGGGGCAUGGGAUGGCGCCUUCGUCGUCAGACCAUUGGGAUUCAGCAUAUUUCUGCAGUCUUCUUCAGAGAUCAGGAGGGUUCGAUUCAACACAAUUCCGGGCUUGGGUUCCUCUCAAACAAAAUCAUCUCGACAGCAUUCCUCUUUUUUGCUUCUUAUUAGUCAAACUCUGAAAUCAAUUUCUAUAUUUUAGUGGGUACUUAAUUGAUUUGAUAGGCUAUAUCUACGUGUGAUGCAUCAACUAGGCUUUGUAAAUGGAUACAUAGUGUUUUCUGGUUAUUUUCUUCAAUAAUUAUGUGUUCCCAUUUCUCCCACUCAACAUGUUACAGAAUUUAGUGAUUAACAUUUAUCUACCGAAUUACAAUUCAGUCAAGCAUUACAAUCUUUAUGCCAAAACUAAACAAUAGAACAAAGUCUGCGUGGGAUUUGUAUUGCCAGCUAUGGCUUCAAAAAACAAAACCAAUAGUAAGUUAUUUAUGUACUAAUUCCCCUAAUGAUAUUAGCAUAUGUUGUUUGAAUUUAACUAUUGAAGAGCACAUGAAUGGUACUAGCAUCUAGGAUUGAGGGAUUAAAAGUUUACAAAAUUUCAAAGAAAUUGUAUGUUGGUUUCAUCUCUUUGUUGUUCUGAAAUUGCCGCCCUUGUUGAAUUGUUCUCUAUCACAUCUAAAGCAAAAUUUUACAGUUAGCAUAUGUGAUGGACUAUAUUUUUAAUUGGGGCUCGAGUAUAAUGGACUGGGAAUCAUUCUCUUAAUGAUCUGGUACUCUUGAACUCGUGCAUGAAACGUGCUUUUGUCAUAUAUAUUUCUCCCGAGGUUUGUGGGGAAUAAGAAAUUUAGAUAAAGAUAUGAUAUCUACACAUAUAGUAUAUCUUAAAGUCUGAAAGUCAGUCUUUCACUGUCCCUUUGAGCCUUCUUCCCAACCUUUGAGGAUGUACAUAGCACCCUGCAGAGGUAACUUUUUUUAGAUGUGUAGAGCACUUCUUGAUGUUCAUCUUACCAGCUAGAUCUCACAUGUAACAACUAUGUGGUAGAAUAAACUUUUGCAAACACAAGAAAAAAUUGCAUUCUGCUGGAUUUUCUGUUACAGUUUUCAUGUUGUUUUUUUCCUGUUGAGGGGGACUAUUCAAAUAUACUGAUGGUCUAAAAAAACCUAUGUAUACAUUAACAUAAAACAAUUAUGCAGAAAGUGGACCUUUUUAAGUUCAGGAAAACCGCUUGAUGUCAUUUCACUCGGUAAAUGUCAGUCUGGUUUAGUGUUCUCUAAAGCUAUUUGACCCCAGCUACAUGGUCCAGUAGCAAUAACAGCCACAUGAUGGCCAAUUCAGAAAUACCUUUAGUGAUAUGUUGGAGUACAACCACAUGGUUAGAGUUUCCAUGUUAAAUCACUCCUUUCUUUUAUUAAUACUUAUUUGGUGAAGUUCUUGGCUGCAAUAUUACAAAUUUCAUGUGAAUGCUGUAUUGAAAAGAGAGGUGGAGCUUGCUUGUGGAUAUGAUGGAAUGCAAACAAUGGGCGAUGCUCACCACAUGUCCAUUGCAUGGCUAUCAAAUAGGGUAAAAAUAUAUUUUAUACAUUUUCCUAUUCUGGCGUAAACUAUCACCUGAUGCAAACUAAUUGUUAUUUUUGUUGAUCAAACCUUGCACCAAGUCAUGGUUGUCGUCAUCGCAGAGUUCAGUUAUUAUUCCUGUCAACAUCACCAUGUUCUAUCUGACACUUGGAACUGAGAGCAAGUAGUAUACCACUACCAGUACCUCUAGUAGUGUGGAUCAACAUGUUUUUGCAAUUCUGUUUUCGAAAGUAUUUUAUUUUCAUUCAUCUAGUAUUGUGGAUCGGCAUGUUUUGUCUAGUUUAUAUUACAUCUGUUUGUGACCUGGUACAUCUAUUUCUGACCUGUUUGUGUCCUGGUGCAAUCUUCAAUGCUUUUUUCUAUUUCUCGUUCCUCGUUCUGUCCUAUGGAGAAUGGGGAAAACAUGUGAAAGCUCAAGAUCUUUCUGUAACUAAAAGUUCUAUCAUAUGCACUAGUUCAAUCCCAUUAAAGUUCCACUAAUGCGCUAAAAUUUAUCAUUCCUGCUAUUGAUUCCUAGAAUUUACUGGCCUUAUCUCUCCUCCUGAAUCUUUGGUUGAUUGUUCCUCCUAUACUGGAUCAUAUUUACUGGCCUUAUCUCUCCACAUGAAUCUUUGGCUCCCCUGCUAUUUGAUGUUGAAGAACUAACAAGUACUGAUGGUUUCCUUAGGUAGGAAACAUCAUUUUGCACUAUAUCAUCUCUUUUGGACUGAAAAUAUAGAACAUAAUUGUUUUGUACAGAACUUUUAGCAGCAGUCACCACACUAUUUUUUAUCAUCUCUUUUGGACUGAAAUAAAUAACAUUUUGUACAGUAUAUAACUAGCUAUGAGGAUGUUGAUUGUUGUUGCACAGGAAACGACAUUACAUAAUAAAAAUAUUCUUUGAGUUCUUAUUAUGGACUGACCUGGUACUGUAGCUUAGGGUUGUGUGUCAGAUUGAUAUAUUAUGGAAACCCCGCUCCCGAGCAGGCCUAGUACAAGAAUUAGUAAAACUUAUUGUUAAGCAAAAUGGUUUGCACGUCACUAACUUGGUAUAGAUCCACAACAAAACUCUAACAUUGCUGAGAAUAGGUUCGGAUGCAAUACAGUCCAGAAAAUCACGUCUCUUCCAUCCUGCCCUCAUUUUGUUGCAUGUCCUUCUCAUUUUCUAAAAUUGCUCAAAGAUACAAGUUCUUUUGCAGGGACAAAUGGGAGAAAGUACCAUGUACUGAAGUUGAUCUAGGAUGUUUUGUUGUUCAUAUGGAAGUUGAUGUCGGCUUGAUCAAAGACCGGGUAUCUCCCAUAAUAUUUUGUAGUAGCCAAGUGAUCGAACAUUUGGUCUCUUGAGAACUUGCUCAUCAUAUUUUGUAACUGGCCAUGACCUGAAUGCCGACUUGUAUUUUUCCUUAAUGGCUGGAGCUAACUUGAGUGAAGAAAACUAGUGAAUCUUCUAUAUAUGUUGAAUGAAUGCAUUGGAUGUUAUCUUGUGAUGAAUGGAAGAGUGCAAUUGGAAUAUUCUAUAUAUGUUGAAUGAAUGCAUGCAUUUGCAUGUUAUCUUGUGAUAAAUGGAAUAGUGCAAUUGUAUUGCGUACUGAAAUGAUUUGAAUAAUAUGAUUUUGAUUGUAUUGCGUACUGGCAGAUAAAGUGUCGGCAUAGAAAUGGCCGUUGCACUAUC
rnacentral:lncRNA from 1 species